rnacentral:rRNA from 1 species
CAGCACCUCAAGUGGUCAGGAUGAUUAUUGGGCCUAAAGCAUCCGUAGCCGGCGCUGUAAGUUUUCGGUUAAAUCUGUACGCUCAACGUACAGGCUGCCGGGAAUACUGCAGCGCUAGGGAGUGGGAGAGGUAGACGGUACUCGGUAGGAAGGGGUAAAAUCCUUUGAUCUAUUGAUGACCACCUGUGGCGAAGGCGGUCUACCAGAACACGUCCGACGGUGAGGGAUGAAAGCCGGGGGAGCAAACCGGAUUAGAUACCCGCGUAGUCU